rnacentral:rRNA from 1 species
CAAGGAUUGAUUAUUAUUGAAAAAAGAAUUUUUUUUUUUUGAAUUCGAAGG